AAACCAUGCUAUGGGCACUUCUACAAGAGGUCUUUGAAUCACUCCCAUAUCUCAAACAAGGAUUCAAUCUCCAUCUGAACAAACAACAAUAUUUCAUUAUGAAGCUU